GCUACUAAUAAAAGUUGACUGACAAGAAAGUUCUUGAAAAAAAAAAAAGACUGACAAGAAGAGUUCCACUUUCUAGACAUAAAUAAAGUUAAAGAUCAGCUGCCAAUUUUUUAUUACUUGGAAAAGUUUGAUUGAUUAUACAUAUAUGAUAUACUAUAUAUUAAAAAUCUUCACGUUGUUAUACUUUUUUAGAGUUUAGUCCCUUUAAUUUUUCUAAUUUUUAACUUUUAAAAUGUAAAUUUAAUUAUUAAAUGGUUACUGUCGUUUUUGGUUUGCCAUCUUCAUAAACUCAUCAGAUCAUUGCCCUCUUCUACUUUCAUUGGAACCGGGAGUGUCCAGACAAGCAUAUAGACCUUUCCGAUUUAAUGCUGGUUGGUUGUUACAUCCUGGAUUCAAGAAGAUGGUUAGUGAUAAUUGGAGCUCUAAUAAUGAUUUGCUUAUUAAUGUGAUGCAACUCACAGACUGAUCUCCUAAAGAUUGGAAAAGAAAAGUGUUUAGCAAUAUUUUUUGGAGGAAGAAGGAUGUUAUUGCACAGUUGCAAAAGGUUCAACAUAAGAUAGAUUAGCAUGAGUUGGCUAGGUUGCGAGAUAAGGAAGUUGCUACCUGGUUUAAAUUGGAGGAGGUGUUGUACCAAGAGAAGUUACUUUGGAAGCAGAAGGUGCAGUACUGUGACUAGUUGUGUCAUGGAGAUCAGAAUACUAGGUUUUGCUACAAAUUCGAGUUGGGAUACAGUGAAGCUAACGAAGGCGAUAACAUUUGAGGAGGUCGGUAGUGUCUUGUUUAGUAUGGCACCGUUGAAGCCUCCGAGUGUUAAUGGUUUGCUUGCGAAAUUUUAUCAGUCGCAAUGUGAU
rnacentral:lncRNA from 1 species